UACGGAGGGUGCAAGCGUUAUCCGGAUUCACUGGGUUUAAAGCGCACGCAGGCGGCGCAACAAGUCUGACGUGAAAUCUCCCGGCUUAACUGGGAGCGGUCGUUGGAAACUGUUGUGCUUGAGGCGAUGAGAGGGGUGUGGAAUUCCCGGUGUAGUGGUGGAAUGCGUAGAUAUCGGGAGGAACAUCAGUGGCGAAAGCGGCACCCUGGCAUUAGCCUGACGCUCAUGUGCGAAAGCGUGGGGAGCGAACGGG
rnacentral:rRNA from 1 species